rnacentral:rRNA from 1 species
GACGUAGGGCGCAAGCGUUGUCCGGAAUUAUUGGGCGUAAAGAGCUCGUAGGCGGUCUGUUGCGUCCGCUGUGAAAACCCGGGGCUUAACCCUGGGCUGGCAGUGGAUACGGACAGGCUAGAGGCAGGUAGGGGGGAACGGAAUUCCCGGUGUAGCGGUGAAAUGCGCAGAUAUCGGGAGGAACACCCGUGGCGAAGGCGGCUCUCUGGGACGGUACUGACGCUGAGGUGCGAAAGCGUGGGGAGCAAACAGG